rnacentral:tRNA from 1 species
GCCUGGGUGGCUCAGUCGGUUAAGCGUCUGACUUCAGCUCAGGUCAUGAUUUCACGGUUCGUGGGUUCAAGCCCCACAUCAGGCU